ensembl:snoRNA
GUGUCCUUUUAAAGUUGACGCAGUGCUUUAAGAGGCUAACACAGAAGGGUAAAGUAACUCUCCAUAAAACCCAGAGAAGAGAUUUUUAAAACUCUUCUUUGGAUCCUGUCUGGAGUCACAGCU